CAAUCUGGAGCUCCUUAACUUGGAAACAGGAAGAAACAGUAGCUCGGAUCUGUUGGUCAAUAUCCUGCAAUCGAAGUGCCCGGAUGGUGGCAGAACACCCUACCGAGAGGACAGUCUGCAGAAAAUC